rnacentral:rRNA from 1 species
GACGAACGCUGGCGGCGUGCUUAACACAUGCAAGUCGAACGGAAAGGCCCUGCUUUCGUGGUGCGCUCGAGUGGCGAACGGGUGUGUCACACGUGAGUAACCUGCUCUUGAUUUUGGGAAACCUUCAGGAAACUGGGGCUAAUACCGGAUAGGAGCUCCUGCUGCAUGGUGGGGGUAGGUAUGUUUCGUCGGUUGGGGAUGGACUCGCGGCUUAUCAGCUUGUUGGUGGGGGAGUGGCUUACCAAGGCAUUGACGGGUAGCCGGCCUGAGAGGGUGACCGGCCACAUUGGGACUGAGAUACGGCCCAGACUCCUACGGGAGGCAGCAGUGGGGAAUAUUGCACAAUGGGCGGAAGCCUGAUGCAGCAACGCCGCGUGCGGGAUGACGGCCUUCGGGUUGUAAACCGCUUUCGCCUGUGACGAAGCGUGAGUGACGGUAAUGGGUAAAGAAGCACCGGCUAACUACGUG